CCCCCCUCCUCUACACACUAGACACAGGAUGAUUCUAAUGGAUGGAGAAAUGGAUAUUAUCAAUUCUUUAGGAGAUAUGGAUCGAGAUGGUUCCCUGGAUUCACUCUGGCCAUGGGACCAAAGCUUUGAGGUAGGCAAUAAGCACUUUUAAACAUUUGGACAAUUUUAAGACAAGAAUCUUUAAGAAAGAAACAGAUAAUGAAAAAAGUAGUAAAAAAAGGACCUAAAAAAAUUAAACCAAAAAUUAAAUACCGUUCAAAAUUUUGAACAGAAUUUCUUAGAAUAAAUCGAAGACUAAAAUGUUGUGGGUUCUUC